GGCUGAGGAGAUGGCCCUCAGCCAACAGAGUAUGCGUCCUGUGGCUGAGGGCAUCCCUGGGGGGAGCUCCUCUGAUCCCCCCACCCCCCAGGAUAGAAGUGCCUUUACAGUAUAAGAGUUACUGAUGGCGUCAUCGCCCUACUUGAACCAGAUGCCCUCACCAACCUCCAUGCAAUUGUAACAAUUCAAAAGAUGCAAAAGGAUGCUUUGGAGAUCCACAUUUUGGAACAUAAGUUAUAGGAAAUUUUGUUGAACAGUUUACUCAAAGGGUUUUACUUCAGUGAACAAUGCAGACGAUUAUGCUGAGCAUGUAGAGAAGAACAGCAUCUGGUUAAAAGCAGUACCAGGG
ensembl:lncRNA